rnacentral:rRNA from 1 species
UACGGGGGGUGCAAGCGUUAUCCGGAUUCACUGGGUGUAAAGGGUGCGUAGGCGGGACAGUAAGUCAGUGGUGAAAUCUCACGGCUCAACCGUGAAACUGCCGUUGAUACUGCUGUUCUUGAGUUCGGGAGAGGUUGAUAGAAUUCCAGGUGUAGCGGUGAAAUGCGUAGAUAUCUGGAGGAACACCGGUGGCGAAGGCGACAUCCUGGACCGGUAUUAACGCUGAGGCGCGAAAGCCAGGGGAGCAAACGGG